GGAGUGUGUUGGGCAGCCGCUGUUGCCCCCGAACCAACGGGGCCGCAACAGAGGAACGUCCGAACUCCACAGGGCGGCGUGCCGGCUAACGGCCGGGCGUCAAUUGCUGGCUUCCGCCAGCGAAAGGCGACGGAAAGUGCAACAGAAAAAAUACCGCCCCGGUCCCAUAAGGAUCGGGGUAAGGGUGAAAAGGUGAGGUAAGAGCUUACCGCGUUGCGGGCAACCGCAACGGCAGUGCAAACCCCACGCGGAGCAAGGCCAAAUAGGGCAUCGGAACGGGGCGGCCCGCCUUUGAAUCGUCUUCCCCCAACGGAAGCGGUUCCCGAGUGCGGGUAGGCUGCUGGAGCGGAUUGAGCAAUCAUCCGCCAAGAUCAAUGGCUGCCUCCCUUUUGCCGCAUGGAAGGAAGACAGAAUUCGGCGUACAAACACGCUUCGGAU
rnacentral:RNase_P_RNA from 2 species